rnacentral:rRNA from 1 species
AUUGAACGCUGGCGGCAUGCCUUACACAUGCAAGUCGAACGGCAGCACGGGAGCAAUCCUGGUGGCGAGUGGCGAACGGGUGAGUAAUAUAUCGGAACGUGCCCAGUCGUGGGGGAUAACGUAGCGAAAGUUACGCUAAUACCGCAUACGAUCUAAGGAUGAAAGCGGGGGAUCGCAAGACCUCGCGCGAUUGGAGCGGCCGAUAUCAGAUUAGGUAGUUGGUGAGGUAAAGGCUCACCAAGCCAACGAUCUGUAGCUGGUCUGAGAGGACGACCAGCCACACUGGAACUGAGACACGGUCCAGACUCCUACGGGAGGCAGCAGUGGGGAAUAUUGGACAAUGGGCGCAAGCCUGAUCCAGCCAUGCCGCGUGCAGGAUGACGGUCCUAUGGAUUGUAAACUGCUUUUAUACAGGAAGAAACACUCCGACGUGUCGGAGCUUGACGGUACUGUAAGAAUAAGGAUCGGCUAACUCCGUG